rnacentral:sRNA from 1 species
AAGUUAUGAAAAAAGUUAUGAAGUAUUGACACACAGCAUUCACAGAAGUUAUGAAGUAUUGACACACAGCAUUCACAGAAGUUAUGAAGUAUUGACACACAGCAUUCACAAAAGUUAUGAAAAAAGUUAUGAAGUAUUGACACACAGCAUUCACAGAAGUUAUGAAGUAUUGACACACAGCAUUCACAGAAGUUAUGAAGUAUUGACACACAGCAUUCAGAGAAGUUAUGAAGUAUUGACACACAGCAUUCACAGAAGUUAUGAAGUAUUGACACACAGCAUUCACAGAAGUUAUGAAGUAUUGACACACAGCAUUCAC